GAUGAACGCUAGCGGCAGGCCUAACACAUGCAAGUCGAGGGGCAGCACAUGAGUAGCAAUACGAUGGUGGCGACCGGCGCACGGGUGAGUAACACGUAUGCAACCUGCCUUCUACUAUGGGAUAACCCGUUGAAAGACGGACUAAUACCGUAUAAGACAGGGGCUCCGCAUGGAGAUAUUUGUUAAAGAUUUAUUGGUAGAAGAUGGGCAUGCGUAUGAUUAGAUAGUUGGUGAGGUAACGGCUCACCAAGUCAGCGAUCAUUAGGGGUUCUGAGAGGAAGGUCCCCCACACUGGUACUGAGACACGGACCAGACUCCUACGGGAGGCAGCAGUGAGGAAUAUUGGUCAAUGGACGAGAGUCUGAACCAGCCGAGUCGCGUGAAGGAAGACGGUUCUAUGAAUUGUAAACUUCUUUUGUGCAGGAAUAAAGUGGGUUACGUGUAACCUUCUGUAUGUACUGUACGGAUAAGGAUCGGCUAACUCCGUGCCAGCCGCCGCAGUAAUAC
rnacentral:rRNA from 1 species